GAUGAACGCUGGCGGCGUGCCUAAUACAUGCAAGCCGAGCGAACGGACGAGAAGCUUGCUUCUCUGAUGUUAGCGGCGGACGGGCGAGUAACACGUGGAUAACCUACCUAUAAGACUGGGAUAACUUCGGGAAACCGGAGCUAAUACCGGAUAAUAUUUUGAACGGCAUGGUUCAAAAGUGAAAGACGGUCUUGCUGUCACUUAUAGAUGGAUCCGCGCUGCAUUAGCUAGUUGGUAAGGUAACGGCUUACCAAGGCAACGAUGCAUAGCCGACCUGAGAGGGUGAUCAGCCACACUGGAACUGAGACACGGUCCAGACUCCUACGGGAGGCAGCAGUAGGGAAUCUUCCGCAAUGGGCGAAAGCCUGACGGAGCAACGCCGCGUGAGUGAUGAAGGUCUUCGGAUCGUAAAACUCUGUUAUUAGGGAAGAACAUAUGUGUAAGUAACUGUGCACAUCUUGACGGUACCUAAUCAGAAAGCCACGGCUAACUACGUG
rnacentral:rRNA from 1 species